rnacentral:rRNA from 1 species
UACGAAGGUCCCAAGCGUUAUCCGGAUUUAUUGGGUUUAAAGGGUGCGUAGGCGGGCUAUUAAGUCAGUGGUGAAAGCCCCAAGCUUAACUUGGGAACUGCCAUUGAUACUGAUGGUCUUGAGUACAUUUGAGGUGGGUGGAAUGUGUCAUGUAGCGGUGAAAUGCUUAGAUAUGACACAGAACACCGAUUGCGAAGGCAGCUCACUAAACUGUAACUGACGCUGAGGCACGAAAGCGUGGGGAGCAAACAGG